rnacentral:lncRNA from 1 species
AGAGCUCCACCGGGCGGCGGCGCCGCCGCCGCCCUACCCCGCCGUUUGGAACCACCACCCCUGCCGCUGCAGGAACCAUAGGGAGGAGCGGUUCUUCCCCAGGUCGGCGGCGGCGCCGCCCUCCUCCACCUUGUGGAACCACCACCUCCACCGCUGCAGGAAACAGAGGGAGGAGCGGUCCUUCCCCAAGUCGGCGGUGGCGCCGCCCUCCUCCGCCUCGUGGAACCACCACCACCACCGCUGCAGGAAACAGAGGGAGGAGCGGUUCUCCCCCAAGUCGGCGGCCGCGCCCGCUCCAUCCGCCGCUGCUCCUCCUCCGGCAACAUCGCCGGAGAGCAGGAGUAGGAGGAGGGAGAGCUCGAUCAUGG